CCUAGCUCUUGGGUGUUGCCUUCCUGAAGAAUUCUUUCUACUAAUCGGUGCUGCAUCGCAGAAAAAAGGACCUUCUAUUACUUGCUAGAAUGAAGCACCUUCCACCAAAACAGAAGUGCCCGAAUCACAAAUGCCAAGACCUAUCAAGAAAAGGCUCCCUCUUGUGGCAAAGAAAUCUGGUUGUGUGUUCUGGAAAGAAUGGGUCCAGCUGGAGGUCAACUCCAGCAAAGCAAAGGUUGAUGGAGAUGUACCGCUGGCUAUGCAGAAAAAAGCCAUUACAACCAAUCCAAUGUUCACAAAUGCAACCUCUCACGUGAUGAGAAGCCGUGGCAGUGUGGUUAAAGAACUGCAGCUUGAGAGCACAGUCUGCAGCUAAAAAGGUCUCGAAAAGCUGGGGUAUCUGCCAGGUAUCUGCUGUGGUGUUUCCAACCCUGACAUGGCACAAGCACAUGAAGCAGCAGG